CCUACGGGGGGCUGCAGUGGGGAAUAUUGCACAAUGGGCGCAAGCCUGAUGCAGCCAUGCCGCGUGUGUGAAGAAGGCCUUCGGGUUGUAAAGCACUUUCAGCGGGGAGGAAGGCGGUGAGGUUAAUAACCUCAUCGAUUGACGUUACCCGCAGAAGAAGCACCGGCUAACUCCGUGCCAGCAGCCGCGGUAAUACGGAGGGUGCAAGCGUUAAUCGGAAUUACUGGGCGUAAAGCGCACGCAGGCGGUCUGUCAAGUCGGAUGUGAAAUCGCCGGGCUCAACCUGGGAACUGCAUUCGAAACUGGCAGGCUAGAGUCUUGUAGAGGGGGGUAGAAUUCCAGGUGUAGCGGUGAAAUGCGUAGAGAUCUGGAGGAAUACCGGUGGCGAAGGCGGCCCCCUGGACAAAGACUGACGCUCAGGUGCGAAAGCGUGGGGAGCAAACAGGAUUAGAUACCCGUGUAGUC
rnacentral:rRNA from 1 species